rnacentral:misc_RNA from 1 species
GGGAGUGGGGAGGGCAGG